CCACUGGCACAUAUAUGUUGUACCUACUGCGAAGGUGAGAGGAAACCUUUGCCUGCCAACCACAGGUUUUCCCCACUGUGUGUGUGCGCGUGUGUUCUUUUUGGAUAAGGGAGGGAGAUGGAUCAUCAGAAUGGACACUGAGAUCACUCUUUUUAGGACCAACACUUAACAGGCUUUUGUCAUUUGAUGAGAUAAUCAAAACAAGGACAUAUUCAUGACCUGUCCUCUCAAGGCUCUGGAGGACCAGGCUCAUUUUCAUCCUGGACCUUUAGAUCAGACCAAUAGACUGCUAUCUUCACUCUUCUGAGUCUUAGGACACACUCCAACAAGUUUUUUUUUGCCUAUAUAAUGGGAGAGUCCAAACAGAUAACUUCUAAGAUCUCUUUCAGCACCAAGCAUCUGUGGGUUGCUUGCUUUCCUGUUUUAUCCUAUCUGAUGAAUACUAAGAGACAUCAUUGCUCCUACAGUAGGUGGGUAUAUUGCAACCUCCACUGAUUUGGAAACAAAAGGCCCUGAACUACAAUAGCAGCUCUCCAGUUUCCACUUCAAUAACAUAUAGUUCUUCAGCAAGUUGAAAAAAAAAGUACUAAAGAAGCAAAUCACCCAGCAGCCUCUCUAAGAUAUCCCUGAGUUAUACUUUCAUAUUGUUUUCUAGAUUUCCCAUUCUGAAACUGGUCCACAGAUCCACUGUACUCUAACAACAAAUUUGUUAAAAUACAGCUCUAACCAUGUUAUUCCUCUACUCAAAAACCGUCUGAGUUUCUACAUUUACUGUCUAACAGAGAAAUUCUGAUUUCUUUAGCCUUAAUGAUCUGGACUUAACUUUCUAACAUCA
rnacentral:lncRNA from 1 species